rnacentral:rRNA from 1 species
AUGGCUUGGGGUCAGCUUGCUGGAAGACCCGCAAUAGGGUUCCUGUCUCGUGCUCAACAGCUGGCUGCUCAAAGGUUUACUUCUGCGACAUUCCAAACUAAUCCGUUGAGCGAUCAUCUUCCAGAAGAUGGCAUGUUUCGUAGGAGCUUUAGCUUAGCGGUGCCUGCUUCAGAGCAAAUGAACCUCAUUAAGCAACUCCGAGAAAGAACGUGUGCUCCGAUCAAAGAUGUCAAGGCUUCGUUAGUUAGUUGUGACUGGGAUAUUGAGGCCGCACAGGUGGAUCUAAGGAAGAGAGGGGUGAUUCUUGCUGCCAAAAAGUCAUCACGGACUGCUGCCGAAGGUUUGCUUGCUAUGGCAGGAGAUGAUAAAAGGGCUGUUGUGGUUGAGCUAAACUGUGAGACCGACUUUGUAGCAAGAAAUGAUGUUUUCCAGUAUCUGGCUUCAUCCUUGGCAAAGAUGGCUCUGUCAGCUCAGGAUCCCGGGAAAUCAGUUUUUCCUUUUGCUCCUGCAUAUUUGGAGAGCAUGAGUAUUAACCUAGAUCAUCCUAAACUCAGUGGUGAAACAACUGUUCGGAAUGCUGUUACGGAAGUUGCUGCCAUGGUUGGGGAGAACGUAAAACUUAGAAGAGGUUUCAUGUUGUCCACGACUGCACAUGGUGUUGUUUCAUCUUAUCUGCAUACCUGUCCUCAGCCAGAUCUGGGUCGCGUUGCUGGAUUGGUCACUUUAGAAGCAGAAGAUAGCAGUGCUCCCCUUGACGCUCUCAAGAGAGUUGGGUCAUCUAUCGCAAUGCAUAUUGUUGCAGCAAGGCCAUUAUUCUUAUCAAAGGAACUGGUUUCUGCUGCAGCUGUGGAAAAUGAACGUGAUGUGCUCCGAACUCAGGCUGAAAGAUCAGGUAAACCCCAAAUGGCCAUAGAGAAAAUGGUGGAAGGCCGAUUGAGGAAGUAUUUCGAAGAAGCUGUGCUUUUGGAGCAAAAGUACGUCGUUAAUGACAGCACAAACAUUAAGACGCUGCUGAGUGAUUUGUCCAAGGAGGUUGGCUGUAAAGUAACGAUUGGCAACUUUGCCAGAAUGGAAGUCGGGGAAGGAAUCGAGAGACCUGAAGAAUGA